AUUGAACGCUGGCGGCAGGCCUAACACAUGCAAGUCGAGCGGUAGAGAGAAGCUUGCUUCUCUUGAGAGCGGCGGACGGGUGAGUAAUGCCUAGGAAUCUGCCUAGUGGUGGGGGAUAACGUUCGGAAACGGACGCUAAUACCGCAUACGUCCUACGGGAGAAAGCGGGGGAUCUUCGGACCUCGCGCCAUUAGAUGAGCCUAGGUCGGAUUAGCUAGUUGGUGAGGGAAUGGCUCACCAAGGCGACGAUCCGUAACUGGUCUGAGAGGAUGGUCAGUCACACUGGAACUGAGACACUGUCCAGACUCCUACGGGAGGCAGCAGUGGGGAAUAUUGGACAAUGGGCGAAAGCCUGAUCCAGCCAUGCCGCGUGUGUGAAGAAGGUCUUCGGAUUGUAAAGCACUUUAAGUUGGGAGGAAGUGCAGUAACCUAAUACGUUAUUGUUUUGACGUUACCGACAGAAUAAGCACCGGCUAACUUCGUGCCAGCAGCCGCGGUAACAC
rnacentral:rRNA from 1 species